UAGGGAAUCUUCCGCAAUGGGCGAAAGCCUGACGGAGCAACGCCGCGUGAGUGAUGAAGGUCUUCGGAUCGUAAAACUCUGUUAUUAGGGAAGAACAAAUGUGUAAGUAACUAUGCACGUCUUGACGGUACCUAAUCAGAAAGCCACGGCUAACUACGUGCCAGCAGCCGCGGUAAUACGUAGGUGGCAAGCGUUAUCCGGAAUGAUUGGGCGUAAAGCGCGCGUAGGCGGUUUUUUAAGUCUGAUGUGAAAGCCCACGGCUCAACCGUGGAGAGUCAUUGGAAUAUGGAAAACGUGAGUGCAGAAGAGGAAAGUGGGAUUCCAUGGUUAACGGUGAAAUGCGCAGAGAUAUGGAGGAACACCAGUGGCGAAGGCGACUUUCUGGUCUGUAACUGACGCUGAUGUGCGAAAGCGGGGGGAUCAAACAGG
rnacentral:rRNA from 1 species